rnacentral:lncRNA from 1 species
UAGGAGAUCACAGUUUCCUGUAAUGCUGACACUGGCUCAGACGAUGACAGUACAAGUGUGACCAUGCCAACUGGUGUCUCAACCUUUUUACUGGAUUGUAUGGACUCAGACACAAGUUCCUCGGUCCUGUCCUCGCCUGAGGUUUUUCGUAAACGGGACUCUUAUGCCUUAGAAGAGAUGGCUCAGUGCUUUAGUGACGAUGAUCUCAAGGACCUGCCCCUGAAAAAUUCAACUCUUCUAGAUGUCAGCUCUGCCCAGGACAUCAUUACACAACAGCCCCCAAAUCUCUCAUCCAUUUUAGGUACCAAAUGAAUACUGUGAACAGAGCUGUUCAGUUAUGUAAAAAUGUCCCAUACAACAUAUAUUCGGUAUGUAUUUCGCAUUCAAUGUUUUCUUUUUGACAUGUUGCUUUCAGAAGCCUCUGGAAAGAUUGAUGCAGUGCCUGGAAACAUGUUAGUGUGAGUGUGAAUGCAAUCCCUCAAAUACGUGAC